rnacentral:lncRNA from 1 species
CACAAUGAGUGACAAAACAUGCUAUGGCAGGGUGGCUUAAAACCUUUUGUUGAGGAGCCCAAUUCACUAUCUUACCCUUAUGCCCUUGGAAUUCAUGAGGGUAUGCCAUUUUAUUGUCUUCUCUUAUAACCCAAAGAAAAGGUCUAUUAGUGAGAUCUAGUCCAACGGCAAGUUCAUUGAAUUGGUUUUGGUCAAAAAGAGUGAUACUACCAAAGGCAACAUACAACACAGAACCAUCAGCUUGUUCAUCUAGCCAACUCAUGCAAGAGAGAUCUUCUUUCCAGAAUUGUCCCAUUGAUUUUGUAGCUGCACUUUUGUUAUGAUCAUUAUCAUUGCUUCUCAACAAUGGCCCAAUUGGGAUGAUCUUGGGAAGAAAUAAUAAUGUUCCAGGUUCAAGUUCAUGUGUGGUGUUGCAAAGCCACCACUGUGUCAAAUGUAAACUUCGUAAGCAAUGCAGCAGAUACUUACGCACUUUCUUACCAGUUGUUAGGUCACCGAUAUUCAACCAAAAAAAGUCUUCUGUAUCCAUCUCAGGCAUACUUGGAGAAAUCCGAAUUCUCUUUUUGGUGGUUGAUGUUAAACCUUCAGUGAAAAACCAACAAAAGAACAUUAGCUUAUACAACGUAUAAAUUAAAUUAUAAAUUAUGUUCAAACUUAACAAUACCUAAAUCAGAGUCUAUAACUCCCUCAUCAAUAAGCACAGGGAUGCUGUACACCAAGGUGAAAGUAGCUGCUGAUGCAGGACCCAACACAGCUCCUUGGAUUCCCAGUUUACUCCCAACAUCCAAAGCCCAAGCCAUGCACAAAUCAGCAACAAUGAAGUUGAUUCUCUUCUCACCUUUCACAUGAAUAUCCUCUAUCAACUUCUCAAGUGCUUCUGGCAUGGUUUUUGGAAAGACAUCAUACAGCUUGGCCAGAUCGUUUCUGUCAUCAUCAGGUCCUAAACCAUCAGGGAUUGAAACCAACUUCAGAAGUGAUUCUUCUUCAUCAGGGCUAGAACUAUCUUGUUGCUCCACCAUGGAACUCACCACUCUCCUGUGGUUAAAGUCUGUGUUCACAAAAAUGACUUUGCAUCCAUUCUCAAUCAGCUUCUGUGAGAAGGUCAUCAUGGGAUUCACAUGCCCUUGUGCUGGAAGUGGUAAAGCUAGCACAGUUGGAGCUCUCAUGUUCAGUGUUUCUAUUUGGUUUCUAUUGAUUUUGAUUUCUGAGGCUAAUUAUGCAUUCAUCAGUUCAUGUAUAUAGGCACAACCCCUCACACGUAUUUACCAAGCAAUUACAAAUCUAGAUCAUGAUCACUCUAAAUUUUCUGCUAUCACAAAUUUCUUGUAAGCAGAAAUGUAGAAAGUUUGUGUGGUCACAUCAAUAAUUUUGUCAUUCUAUACCUCUUUACUUUUCCUUGUACUUCUCUGAUUGGACUUCAGUGUUUUUGUCAUUAAACUUUUGCUUUUUUACUUUAUUAAUUGAUUCAGCAUUAUGCUGUUAUUUCAUUACGAGAAUUAUUAAUUACAGUAAGAAAUAUCUCUUUUAAUUUGAAUCAAUUUGAAAGGAAAGGUAAUAAAUGAAAAUUUCCAAAUAAUAAACUACAUUUUCUAAGGUUGAGGUACAAAUAUAAAGGUUAAAAAUGGAAAUAUACAAUUUUCUUUCAUUACCAGAAAUAUUGCAUAUAGUGUGGACCUAAGACUAGGACAUAAAGAGGUAAACACUGAUCCUACAUAGUUGUUAGUGUCGGCAACAUAGUUGUUAGUGUCGGCAACUGUCUUAUUAAAAAUAAAAACACUACAAGAAAAUCAUAAAAUAAAAAUCAAUUUUUAGAGAUCAAAAUAAUUACUUACAAUAGGAACUAAAAUAGAGACCAUUUUAGAAACUAAAAAAAAAUUGAUUUCUAAAUUAGUUUCUAUUAUUUUCUAUUAUUGUUAAAUAGUUGUAUCUAAUUAGCAACUAAAGUUUUAACUACCAAUUAUUUAGUUUCUAAAUUUGGUCUCUAAAACUUUGGUUGCUAAUUAGAUACCAAUUUAGAAACUAUUUAACAAUAAUAUAAACUAAUUUAGAAACUAAAUUUCUUUUUAAUUUCUAAAAUGGUCUCUAAUUUAGUUAUUAUUGCAACUAAUUAUUUUGGUUUCUACAAAUUGGUUUCUAUUUAAUGAUUUUAUUCAAGUGAAACUAAUAUAAAAUAAAAACUGAUGCAGAUUGAAUCAGCUAAAUCAAUGCAAGUUUACGUUGUGUAUAUUAAUUAAAAAUUAAAAUGAAUUAGACGGACACAAAUUAAACUGGAUAAAAAUAGAUUUAAUUUUAGUAUCGUUUUAGCAGAUGUAUUUUUUAGAAAUAAAAAUAAUAUUACGUAGAAAAUUAUUAAAUAUAAAAUAAUUUUAAAAAAAUUAGUUACUAUAGUAAUUAAAUUAGAGAUUAUUUUAAAAAUUAAAAAAAUUAUUAGUUUUUAAAUUAGUUUUUAAUAUUGAUAAAUAAUUUUUAAAUUAAUAUCUAAUUAGUUAUUAAGGUUUUAACUAUUAAUUAUUUAGAUUCUAAAUUUGAAACCUCGAUGAUUAAUUAAAUACCAAUUAAAAAAUUUAUUUAUUAAUAAUAGAAAAUAAUUUAAAAACUAAUAAUUUUUGUUUUUAAUUUUAUUACUAUAACAACUAAUUAUAUUUUAUUUUUAAAAUUGAUUACUAUUUAGUGAUUUUUUUUUACGGUAAAUAAUAUAUAAGUUAGUGUGUUAUUGGUCGAUGGAAUAUUAGACGCUGGCUGGUAUAUGUAAUUUGGAGUCUAUUUGGAAAUGAAAUUUGAACUUGUUUUCUCAAAUUAAUGCCAGAUUAUAUUUGAACUAAAUUUUAAUUAAUUCAAAUUUAAUUUGAGUGAAUAUAAUACUUGUGAUUAAUUAUAAUAAAGAAAUAAAUUUACAAUAAUACUAAAUUAUUUUAAGAAUUAUAUUAAACAUAGUUGCAACUAAUUUAAAGUUAUAGUCCAAAUUCUAAAUUGAAAUAAAUAUUAAAAUUAAACUAUAACAUGUGCUCUUGUUAUUGGAAUCCAAAUCAUAAUUGAAAUUGGACUAUAAUGUAUAUGUCUUGUAAUCCUAAAUAAAGUAGAAUGAAAAUUUAAGGAUAGUUAUAACAAUUCUCAUGCAGACAUAUGAGUUUUAACAAAGAAAUCAGAUUUGAUACUUCCAUCGCAUCGUUAGAAUUCAAAGAAAUAAUAAAGAAUGUAAUGUAUAAGUGCGUUUGUCUUUAUUGGAAUGGAGAGGAUUCCCACCAAUGCCAAAAGGGCAUUUGUUUUGAUGGGAAUGAAUAUGAUUUUCUCCAAUUAUAGGAGGACAUUUGUCAACCUCUAAUUUGAGAUGAUUUGCUCUAAUUAGAGAGAGUCACAUGUCCUUCUAUGACGGGAGAGUUUUUAGGAUUAAAACUUACACUUUGGUUGCACAUAACACUAUAAAUACAAUAGCUAGCCCUCUUGUAAAGGAGUUUUGAAUAGAUUAUUGAAUUGCUGCCAAAUUUCAGCCCCAACUAGUCUCUUAGCUCACUCCUCGCUAGCCUUAUUUGUAAGUGGUUAGCAUAGAAGUUCUUAGGAGUUGGUCUAACUUCUCUUAAGCUUCAUUAUUAUUCUCUAUACACCAAUAUUUCAGAGGUUCUUUCACUCAUUUUAGUCACCAAAUUUCACAUCUCAAAAGAUAUAAAACAAAAGAAACAAAGUCAUAUGCAAGCUAGGAUUGCAUCACCUAGUACCCAAGUGGUUAGAUCUAUGGCCACAAAGUAAGCAAUAUGUGCUUGAUAGAAUAUUCUCUUGUGAAUUAGGGUUUAAGCUGUUUAGGUAUUUGGAUGUAUGACACACAGACAGUGGGUUUAGGAACUAGUAAAAAAAGGUUGUCUGAAGAGGAUAAAUAUGUGGAAAUGAAAUAUAAAAGAAAAGCUAAAAUCUCUAAACAAAACAAGUGUGUGGAACAAAAGAUGUGUUUCGGCAAAUGCUAAGAAAAAUGGAAGAGUGUGUCCUAAAAAUUAGUGAGUUGGACAUAAAGGGAUGAACACUAAAGUUCAUAUGAAGCUUGUAGAACAGAAAGAAAAAUAUAUAUUUGCAUCUAACAUCAUAUCUUUCGAAUAAAGAGUGACUCUAGAGUAAGAAAAAUUGAACAAUAUAAGACAAUAUGAAUUUUUUUCAAGGACGAAAAUAUAAAAAAAAGACUCUAAUCGAUGACUUAGUUUAACAUAUAUAGUUGUCAUUUACAACUACUAUGGAUAAAGAGCAAUUAGAAGAUUACAAUAUUUACAAAGAUAAUAUUAUUAAAAUAUAAACCGAAAUUCACAUAAUUAAGAACAAGUUUAAAUUUAAAAAAUCUUUAAUUUUGAUAAUAACCAAUAAUAUUAUAUUUUAAUUAAAAGAUAAAAUUCGACGGUGUGUCUCAGCUCACCAAAUUUUAUCACAAUUGAAAAGCUCAUUGGUGACCUUUUACCCUUUAAUAUCGACCACCUACUUUACUUUUUUUGUUGGAUCAAUCAAUUAUUAGGAUAUUAAUAAUUGGAUUACUGGUAAAUAUUUAGACCACAAAGAUUUAUAUAAUUUUUUAUUUUCUCCAAGAUAGAGCCUUGUUUCUUGCCGUGUCAUAUAUGUGUCCCUUGUUACCAAGGGAUGGUUUUGCUAUUUUUGGAUGCUUUGAAGCCUUUAAAAAGACCUUUUCAACCAAACAAAAAUAGCCACAGAAUUACAUAGAGAAAAAAUGUUUGCUGAAGUAUUUAUAGAAAGAAAAUCAUUAGAUAAAAAAUAAAAAAUAGCUACGGAAUUACAGAAAAAAAAAAUAUUUACCGAAAUAUUUAUGCAAGACAAAAAAAUCAUUAAAAAAUAAUUUUAAAGAUAAAAAAUAGUUAAUUUAUUAUAUUAAUUAAAUUAUAUACUAUUUUAGAUAUUAAAAAAAAUUAUUGAUAUUUAAAAUAGUUUCAAUUAUUAAUAAAUAGUUUUUAUUAUUGAUAAAUAGUUCCAAAAUAUCACUAAAAAAAAUAUGAAAUAGAAAUCAAUUUUUAAAAAUCAAAAUAAUUAGUUACAAUAGUAACUAAAUUAGAGACCAUUUUAGAAACUAAACAAAAAUUUGAUUUUUAAAUUAGUUUCUAUUAUUGUUAAAUAGUUUCUAAAUUGGUAUCUAAUUAGCAAGGUUUUAACUACCAAUUAUUUAGUUUUUAAAUUUGAUCUCUAAAACAUUGGUUGCUAAUUAGAUACCAAUUUAGAAACUAUUUAAUAAUAAUAAAAAUUAAUUUAAAAACUAUUUUUUGUUAGUUUAUAAAAUAGUCUCUAAUUUAGUUACUAUUACAACUAAUUAUUUUGGUUUCUAAAAAUUGGUUUCUAUUUCAUGAUUUACUUGUAGUGUAUUUAAUUAUACUAUAAGAAAAUCACAACCAAAUUUAGGAACAAAAUAAUUAAUCACUAUAUUAACUAAAUUAGAUACUAUUUUAAAGACUAAAAAAUUAUUAAUAUCUAAAAUGAUUUUUAUUAUUAAUAAAAAAUUAUAAAAUAAUUUUUAAAUUGUUAUCUAAAUUAGCUACCAAAAUUUUAUCUACUAAUAUUUAAUAAAUAUGAAUUAUUGAAAUGAAGCAACAUCAAGUUAAUUAUCAUUUCAAUGCAUGGUACCACUUUAUGUAAAAUGAUUUCAUCUUGCUCGUUAAUUGUAUCAAUCAAACAACUUAAUUCAACAGUUGAAUCCAACACUUAAAUGCAAAAUGAAUCAAAUUCAAGUUGGCAACUAAAGUCACUUGUUGAACUCAAAAAAGUUUCAGAAUUAUAUAAGAGUGCCAACUAAGGACAUCUUCCAUGCAACAAAGAAAUUUAAACACUGAUUGCAAACCAUAAAUGCUAAAACUAAAUUAAUGAAAUUGCAACACAAAUUUUCACUUAAUAAUAUUUUCCAAAUUGAAUAUAUAGUUCCUUAAAUUAUUUAAAACAAAUUUACAGAACAUCAAUACCAAUACUUCUCUAGAAAACACCAAACACCAGUUACCGUAGGGUUGUAAUUUUUAUAAAUCACAAAUUUACUGCACCAUGAAACCAGAUCCAUAACAAUUUAUGUAAUGUAAACAAUUAUUUUAACUUUGUCCUCAAGUCAAAUCAAACAGUAAUUUCUAUCAAGCACAUAAACACCAAGAACUUCAAUUCUAAACCAUCAAAGAUCAAAACUGGAAAUUUUAUACUUCACCACAGAGUUUGACAAUAAGACUGGACUGAAUUGACAGAGUUUGACAAUAAGACUGGACUGAAUUGUGAGAUGACGUACACCAACAACUACCAGAAUGUUCAAUGGCUUAAACCAUUCAUAGAGUAAAUUGGAUAGAAACAAUAAUUGUUACUCACCACGAAACAAUUCAAUUUCCAAUUAAACAGGGAAUGUAAUCAAAAUUAUGUAUAAUUUAUGCUCUACACACGCAAAAGUUCUAGCAAUCACCAACUCAAAAGAGUAAAAUUGUGCCACUUUAAAUUACUGUUUCGAAAAUUCAAUGACACAAGAAAAAUAUUGCACUGACUUCAAUUACAAUAAUAAAGCAUUUAUACCAACACGUUAUUUGCACUUUAACCAACACGCAAAUGUUUGAAUUAUCAAUGCUUCAACGAGUCAACACAAAAGUAAUUUGAUCAAUGACACACAAAAAAAUCACUAAUGUCCCCAUUCAAUUUAGUGGAAAUGCUCGUGCAUAUUACAUUCAUAUCAACAAAAAGAGUGAAGAGAAAUUACAAUUUCCAAAUUAACACUACAAGAAAAUCAUAAAAUAGAAAUCAAUCUUCAGAUACCAGAAUAAUUAGUUGCAAUAGUAACUAAAUUAGAGAUUAUUUUAAAAAUUAAACAAAAAAUUGGUUUCUAAAUUAGUUUCUAUUAUUUUCUAUUAUUGUUAAAUAGUUUUUAAAUUGAUAUCUAAUUAGCAACCAAAGUUUUUUAGACCAAAUUUAGAAACUAAAUACUUGGUAGUUAAAACCUUGAUUUAGUGUAACCUCAAGGAAGAAGCGUGUAAAAUAGAGUUACAAGUGAAGAAUGGUGAAGAGUGAAUGUCACCAUGCGCAGGAGUUUAUAAAAGAAAAAUAUUAAAAUACUUUACUGUGAUUUUAUGAAAAAACCACGGACACUUACCAAAGGUUUAAAAAAAAUGUGUACUAUGUGUAUGUCUUAAUAGAAAUUAUAGUAACAUUAAGUAAUAAACCUCUCCUAAAAUUAUAAAUUUUUGUAAUGCCUAAACUAGCAUAUUUGUUGAAGAUGACCAAAUAAGAAAACUAGGAGUUGGAAAGGAAGUGAAAGUUCCAUUAAUUAUACUCAUUUUGGAAAUAAAAUUUAAUACUCAUUAUGUUUCAAUUCUAUUUCUAUAUGAUAUAACUAUAUCUAUUUAAAUAUGUAUUAAAUAACUUUUAAAAAAAAGUAAACUUAAAUCAAAAUGAUAUUAUUUAGAAUUCAAUUUAAAAUGUAUUUCUUUAAUAUCAAAUAACAGUUAUUAUGAAGUGGGUUUGCACCCUCUCAUACCAUAUUACGAAGUGGACUUUAAGUCUAACUCAAAGCCAUAAAACCGGCUCAAUGGGGUGAGGUUUGCACCCACUUAUAUACUAUGAAAGGCUCUAAUCUCUAAUCGAUGUGGGAUUGCACCCACUUAUAUACUAUGAAAGGCUCUAAUAUCUAGUCGAUGUGGGAUCUCCAACAACAGUGAAAAAAUUAUAAUAAUAUAAUAUUCAAAAUAAAGUACUAAAUAAAAUAAAAUUAAUUUUAGAAUUUAAAAUAGAAGGUGUAUAGGAAUGAGACGAAUAUCUAUUUAGAUAUCUUUAUCAUUUUAGUGAAACGACGGGAUUACAAUGGUAGAAAAAUACCCAAGGAUAUUUAUGGAUUGAAACUAAUAUGAAAACACAUGCUAGAAAAUGGAAUAACAAUAUAUGAGAGUUCAAGUGGAGGAAAAAUUGGUUUUGAAUGGGGAAGGCUAUGGUAGAAGCGUUUAAGACAGAUUUAACAAAAAUUAAGCCAAAUAAAAAUAUUGACAUAUGUAGAAAUUCUUUCGUAUAUUCUGAAAACAUAGGUACUAGUUGUAUAAAGUCUAAAUCCUUAGGACAAAACAAAGCCAAAAAAACAAGCAAAAGACUCUUCAAAUUGCAACAAAUAAAAAUUAUUGUACAAUAUUCCUUAUUCAUAAAUGCAUCAUGUCGAUCUAAGUGCAUUUGCAUUGUCUAAUAACAUAAUUAAUAACAUAAUAAAUUGGGUAUUACACACAUUUAUUUUGGCAAUUUUAGCUGCAUGGGUUAUGCAGAUUACUGCAUCCAUUAUUGAUUAUUGAGGAACUAUCAUGGUACAAAAAAAGACUAAUCCAAACCUAGAAUUAACAUUUAAGCACAAAAUCUGAGCUCUUAUUCCUUUAUGGCCUUCACAAAGCUCUUAAAGUUCUCAUAAGAUGUUCCUCCUUUUGCUAUGUUCUUCAUCACUUUCUCCUUCAACACCACACACCUACAUUUUAUGUUCUCAUCAUUAAAGAUCUGUUCCACUUUGGUUUUCAACUCUCCGCGUGACACAACUCCAUUUUCAUCUUUGUCAAUUCCCAACCCAACCUUUAACUCAUCACAAAUAUGUUCUUUGUUGUAAAGUUGGUCUCCAAAGUAUGGCCAACACAAGAAAGGUACCCCAAUGGACAAACCUUCCAUGGUAGAAUUCCAACCACAAUGAGUGAGAAAACAUGCUAUGGCAGGGUGGCUUAAAACCUUUUGUUGAGGAGCCCAAUUCACUAUCUUACCCUUAUGCCCUUGAAAUUCAUGAGGGUAUGCCAUUUUAUUGUCUUCUCUUAUAACCCAAAGAAAAGGUCUAUUGGUGAGGUCUAGUCCAAGGGCAAGUUCAUUGAAUUGGUUUUGGUCAAAAAGAGUGAAACUACCAAACGCAACAUACAGCACAGAACCAUGAGGUUGUUCAUCUAGCCAACUCAUGCAAGAGUCAUCUUCUUUCCAGAAUUGUCCCAUUGGUUUGGUGGUUGCACUUUUGUUAUUAUCAUUGUCAUUGCUUCUCAACAAUGGCCCAAUUGGGAUGAUCUUAGGAAGAAACAACAAUGUCCCAGGUUCAAGUUCAUGUGUGGUGUUGCAAAGCCACCACUGUGUCAAAUGUAAACUUCGUGCACAAUGCAGCAGAUACUGAAGCACUUUCUUACCAGUUAGGCCACCCAUAUUCAACCAAAAAAAGUCUUCUGGGUCCAUCUCAGGCAUACUUGGCGAAAUCCGAAUUCUCUUUUUCGUAGUUAUUGUUAAACCUUUAGUGAAAAACCAACAAAAAUAAAAAAAAGCUUAUGCAGUAUACUACAAAUUAAAUAAAAACUAAUAUUGAAGAUAAGAAAAAAAUUAUUCAAUUACCAAGAUACCAGAGACUUAAAAAAAAAUUAUAUUAUUAAUAUCUAAAUAAUUUUUAUUAUUAAAAAAAUUAUAAACUAAUUUCUAAAUUAGUGUAUAAUUAAUUAUUAAUGUUUUAGUUAUGUACUAUAUUUUAGUUAAUAAUUAAAUAAAUAUUAAUUUAUAAAUUAUAUUAAUAAUGUAAAUUAUUUUAAAUAUCAGUAAUUUUUUAAUCCUUGAAAUAAUAUUUAAUUUAGUUAAUAUAAUAGUUAAUUAUUUUUAUUUGUAAGAUUGAUUAUAUAAAUUAAAUUAAAUUAUAAAAUAAUUUCUAUAAAUUACUUUCUAAAUGAAUUAAUUUAACUAAUAAAAAAAUUUACGUCAUUAUUUUCUGUUUAGAAAUUCUUGUGAAAAGAAAUGUUCAAACAUAACUCUAACAUAAUAUUCUUACCUAAAUCAGAGUCUAUAAUUCCCUCAUCAAUAAGCAUAGGGAUGUUGUACAGCAAGGUGAAAAGAGUUGCUGAUGCAGGACACAACACAGCUCCUUUGAUUCCCAGUUUACUGCCAACAUCCAAAGCCCAAGCCAUGCACAAAUCAGCCACAAUGAAGUUGAUUCUGUUCUCACCUUUCACAUGAAUAUCCUCUAUCAGCUUCUCAAGUGCUUCUGGCAUGCUUUUUGGAAUGGCCUCACACAGCUUGGCCUGAUCGUUUCUGUCAUCAUCAGGUCCUAAACCAUCAGGGAUUGAAACCAACUUCAGAAGUGAUUCUUCUUCAUCAGGGCUAGAACUAUCUUGCUGCUUCACCAUGGAACUCACCACUCUCCUGUGGUUAAAUUCUGUGUUCACAAAAAUGACUUUGCAUCCAUUCUCAACCAACUUCUGUGCGAAGGUCAUCAUGGGAUUCACAUGCCCUUGUGCUGGAUAUGGUAAAGCUAGCACAGUUGGAGCUCCCAUGUUCAGUGUUUUUGUUUGGUUUCUAUUGAUUCUGAUUUCUGAGGCCAAUUAUGCAUUCAUCUGUUCAUGUAUAUAUAGGCACAGCCCCUCACAUUAAAAACGUUAAUCAAUGGCCUCACUAUAUCAUAAUCACGUAUAUACCUACCAAUUACAAAUCUAUGUCAUGAUCAGUCUAAAUUUUCGGCUAUCAUACUAACUUCUAUGAAUAAGAAAUGUAGAAUGUUUCUCUGUUCACAUCAGUAAUUUAUUCAUUCUAUAUCUUGUCACAUUUCCUCGCACUUUCUCUGAUUCGACUUUUCCUGUUUUUAUCAUUAAACUUUUGUUUUUCUACUUUGUUAAUUGAUUUAGCAUUAUGUUGUCAUUAAACUAAGAGAAUUGUAUAAUUAUUGUAAAAAAUAUCUUUUUUAAUUUGGAUGUAUUUGAAAGGGAAAGGUAAAAAAUGAAAAUUUGGAUGUGAACACAAACGUUCUACAUAGAAACUUUCUACACAGAAACUUUCCACAUUUCUAAAAUUUGACAAGUACAUAUAAACACUAAAAGUGGAAAUAUAGCAUUUUUUGGGUUCCAAGAUUCCUCUGAUAAAAUAUUCUGUUUUUUUUUUUUUUGUCUCUAAUCAGUUUUAAUUCAUAGGCCAAUUAGCUUUUUUUUUUCACCCAUGUAUGUAUAUAAGACACAAUUUUACUCUUUCUAAUUACUCAUUUUGAAUAAUAUUCUGCUUUUCAUACGAGCGUUUCUUCUCUUCUCUGUUCUUCUCCGCUUCUUUGUUUUUGUCAGAAUCAUCAAAGAUUUCUUUUUCUUUUUCUAUAAUUGUCAUUAAUAUUUUGUAAUAUGGUCUUAAAACUCUUCAUCGUGAAGGGCUCUGUUGUGCGCACUCUGAUUCCUUCUUCAUUCUUGAUAUUUCGUUCUUUCGCAAAUUUUUCAAUAUUUUUCUCUUUUUUUUUUUUACUAAUGAGUUUCUCUUUUGCAUUUUUGAAGUUGGUCUCAAUGAGUACAAAAAAUCCUGAUCGAAGCAAAAACCCUAACCCUAACCAGAAUAAAAAUCCCAUUCAAAGUGACAAUCUUGCUCACAACUUCUUAUACUUCACUCGAGUGAAAACCCUGCAACUCCUCUCGUAUCUAGUUCUUGAUUUGACAAAUUACCACUCUUGGAGUCGCUCAGAUACCACUAUGUUAAGUGCAAAUAACAAGGUAGAGUUUAUCAAAGAUGUGAUACCUCAGCCCUCUGAAUGGGAUCCCUUCUUCUCGUCCUGGAUGUGAUGCAAUGACAUGGUGGCGUCUUGGCUUGUGCAUUCGGUUUUUGUUCCCAUACGUAAAAGCAUCAUAUAGAUGGAUAAGGCACUAGAUGUCUGGAAUGACCUUAAAGCUCACUUCUCACAAUGUGAUAUGUCUUGCAUUUCUGACCUCCAAAUGGAGGCCUCUCCUAUCAAUCAUGGUGAUCUUUCUGUAACUAAUUAUUUCACCAAAAUUAGGGUUAUUUGGGAUGAAUUAGAUAAUUUUAGACUUGAUCAUGUAUGCACCUGUAAUGGUUUUUCUGUUAUUGUCCAAAGAAAAAGAGAGGAUCAAGCCAUGUAGUUUUUACAUGGCCUCAAUGGUCAAUACAAUAACGUAAAGGCCCAUGUUCUUCUCAUGGAGCAUGUCCUUGCUAUUACUAAGAUUUUUUCUAUGGUUGUUAAACAAGAGCGUCAAUUUAAUAAUAGUUUAGUUGCUCAUAUAAGAAAUAAUAAUUAUGUUAUUCAUACCAAUGUCAAUUCUGUUACUUUUUUAGAAAACUGGGUCACAAUGUAUCUUUUAAGAAAAAUGGUUAUCCUAACCAAGAUUGUAAGGGAUCAAGAUCUGGCAGUAAUAACAGAAAGGUUUGUACCUACUAUAAUAAGAAUGGGCACACUGUAGAUGUCUGCUAUAAGAAAAAUGGAUACCCCCCAGGUAUAGAUUUCAAUAUGGUAAUUUUUCUCAUGCCAACGAUGUUGUUGCUCAAGAAGACAUUGUUGGUGGUCAAGAUCAGAAUAAAAAUAAUGGUAGUGGUGACUUUCGAAUCACCCAAAGUCAGUUUCAAAUCCUUUCGAAUAUUUUGAAGAAUGUAAAUGUCUCAAAUAGUCAAGCUCAAGUGAACCAGGUUGGUUCCAUUUCUGUUGAUCCUCAAGAUCAAAAUUCAGUUGUGACAGGUAAUCUUUAUGGAUUUCAAAAUUUUAUCUUCAAUAAGCAUGCUUGGAUUCUAGAUUUUGGUGCAACAAAUCAUGUUUGUUUUGACCUAUCUAAUUUUGCAUCAUAUGAUGUUAUUAAAACCAUUAUUAUUAAACUUCCUAAUGGAAAUUUUGUUACUGAUUCCUACUUUGGUAUAAUAACUUUUAGUGAUAGAUUUGUUAUGAAAAAUGUCUUAUAUGUGCCAAAUUUUUCUUUUAAUUUGAUUUCCAUAUCUCAAUUUACUACAUCUCUUAAAUGUGAGCUUAGUUUCUCCUCUGCUGAGUGUUCAAUACAGAAUUCCAUAACCAAAGACAAGAUUGGUAUAGUUGAUGUUGUGGUUGAUUUAUAUGUCUUCAACAAAGCUGGCAAAAAUAUUCUAAGCAAUGUUACAAAACAAACGAAUAUUUGGCACCUCCAAAUGGAUCAUCCUUCAAAAGAAAGGUUAAAAGUUUUACAAACUUAUAUCCUAAUAUUCAUAUUGAUAAGGACUACAUUUGUGAUGUUUCUCAUCAAGCAAAACAAAGAAAACUUUAUUUUUCCCUUAAUGACACUAGAAUUGUUCAAUCUUUUGAAUCACUUCAUAUUGACAUUUGGGGUCCUUGUUCGGUUGUUUCAAUGCUUGGUCCUAAAUUUUUCCUUACUAUAGUACAUGAUUUACUAGGUAUACUUCGAUUUUUCCCACAUAAUAAGUCUGAAGUCAGGGUUAAUGUUACCAAUUUUAUAACUUGUGCUGAAAAUCAAUUUUCUACUAAAGUUAAAAUUAUUCAUACUGAUAAUGGCAUUGAUUUUUUCAUGCUUAAUUUCUUUGCAUCCAAAGGUAUUAUCCAUCAAACUACUUCUAUUGAAACAUCCGAGCAAAAUGGCAUUGUUAAAAGAAAACAUCAAUACCUUUUGAAUGUCACUCGCACUUUACUUUUUCAAUCUAGUCUCCCUGGUGUUUUUUGGUAUUUUGUUGUGCAACAUAUUGCAUUUCUUAUUAAUUGCAUUCCUACUCCGCUACUUAACAAUGUCACUCCCUAUGAAAAAUUAUACAAAAGUUGCGUGAUAUUUCUCGUUUACGUGUUUUUAGAUGUUUGUGCUACUUUUCUACCAUUCUUGCUCAUAGAAAAAAAACUUGACAAUCGUGUUGUUCCUGAUGUUUUCCUUGGUUUUAAACUUAAUACAAAAGGUUUCCUCUUCUUGAACCUUAAAAGUCAGAAAAUAGAUUUAUCUAUAAAUGUUAUUUUUCAUGAAAAUUGUUUUCCUUAUUACACCAAGUAUGUACAAAAUAAUGAUUUCAAUAGUCUCUCUUUAUGCCCAGACUUAUGAUGAUCUUAACAUGCAAUCUGAAAAUAAUGUUCAUGAUGUUUUACUUGAUAAUACUGUUGAAACUAAUGUUGAGAUUGAACAAAGUGAGAAUGUUACUGCUUCUUCUAGAAGAUCAACUCAUAGUAGAAGAAUGUCAGCUUAUUUACAAGACUUUGAGGUAUCUAAUAUCAGUAACAAUACGGUAAGUACUAAAUACCCAAUUAAUUCCCUUUUAAAUUACAAUUCUUUGUCUGAUAAUUUCAAAUAUACAAUCAUGUUGAUUUCAUCUACCGAGGAACCUCGAAAUUAUGAGGAAACUAUCAUGCACCCAUCCUGGGUCCAAGCAAUGAAGGAAGAACUUAAGGCACUCGAAGAUAACAAAACUUGAUCUGUAACCGAGCUUCCUCUAGGGAAAACUGCCAUUGAAUUUUGUUGGUUGUAUAAAGUUAAACACAAAGCAGAUGGCUCUAUUGAACGCUACAAAGCCCGUUUGGUAGCAUAGGGCUACACUUAAAUCGAAGGUCUUGAUUUUCUAGAUACUUUUGCUCCUAUAGCAAAGAUAACCACUUUUCAAUUGCUUCUUGCCUUGGCAGCAGCUCACAACUGGACAAUAAAGCAACUUGAUGUUAACAAUGUUUUUUUGCAUGCGAAAUUAGAUCAAGAAGUAUACAUGGUUCUACCUCCAGGACUUCACUUUUCAUCUACAAAUCUGGUUUGUCGCCUCAGAAAGUUGCUCUAUGGCCUCAAACAAGCAGGAAGGCAGUGGUAUGCUAAGCUUUCAAACUUUCUACUUUCUCAUAAAUAUAAUAUUUCCACUACUGACCAUUCUUUGUUUUGAAACAUGUUGGCAAUUACACCAGGGCAAUUCUGGUCUAUGUGGAUGACAUUAUCCUCACUAGGAACAACCCCAUGGAGAUAUCCAAUAUAAAAAUUCUGUUGAAUAAUUGUUCCCAUAUAAAAAAACCUUGGUGAUUUAACGUAUUUUCUGAGCAUUGAAGUAGCACGCAAUGCCACUAGCAUCCACUUAAGUCAAAGGAAGUACGUCUUGGAUUUACUCAAACACACUGGAAUGCUUGGUUGUGCUCUUGUGCCUACACCUAUGCUUCACACAUCAAUACUAUCAGCAACCAAAGGUGUUCCUCUUGAUGACAAGGAAGCCACUGCAUAUAGGCAUCUCAUUGGACGUCUUAUCUACCAAACAAAUACUCGGCCUGAUAUAGCUUUCUCAGUAAAUGACCUCAACCAGUUUGUCUCCAAACCUAUAAAUGAGCAUCACCAAGCAGUCAUGCGUGUUCUUUGAUAUCUAAAGAAUGCUCCUGGAACAUGUAUAUUUUUUUAUAGCCAAACUCCUAUUCAAUUAAAAGCCUAUACUGAUUCUGAUUGGGCAACUUGUCUCGAAACUAGAAAAUCUAUAACUGUCUUUUUUGUUAUUUGGGAGAAUCUUUAUUUCUUGGAAAUCCAAGAAACAACAAACUAUAUCAAGAAGUUCAUCUGAAACUGAGUAUCACGCUCUAGCUGCCACCACCUACGCAAUUCAGUGGAUCACAUAUCUAUUAGUUGAUCUUCACAUCAAGCAUCUGCAACCAACUUUGCUAUAUUGUGACAAUUAAGCUGCAAUUCAAAUUGUAAACAACCAAGUGUUCCACGAGAGGAUAAAAUAUAUCGAAAUCGACUGUCACGUGGUGAGGUAGAAACUCAACGCUGGACUUCUUAAACUUCUUCCAAUAUCAUCCUCUCUUCAAGCUACAUAUUUCUUCACCAAAACUUCUUCCUACAACCAGCUCAACAUUCUGCUUUCCAAACUACGAAUGAAAACCAUUUACUCCUAACUUGAGAGGGAUUGAUAAAAUAUUCUAUUUUUAAUUUUCUGUUGGGUCUGUAAUCAAUUUUUAUUCAUAGGGCAGUUAGUUUUUCUUUUUGCACCCUGUAUAUAAGACACAACUUUACUCUUUCUAAAUACUCUUUUAAAUAAUAUUCUGCUUCUCAAACGAGCGUUCCUUCUCUUCUCUUCUUUACUUCUUUCAGAAUCACCAAAGAUUUCUUUCCCUUUUCCUCCUGUAAUUGUCAUUGAUAUUUUGUAAUAUCCUCGUCUCUAAUCUGCUAAUAAGUUUCCAUAUUCUUGUAGCUAAUUGCAUUUCAGAAGGAAAAUACUAUUUCGUUACGAAAUGGUUUUCGUAUACGAAACACAGAUUGUUCUGAUAGCUUGUUUAUCAUUUUUUAUAAAAAAUAGAAUAGCCUAAAAUACUUCUUAUUCUUCUAUUUUUCGUCGAUAAAAAAAAAUGCUCAUUCGUAAGUUUUGCGUUUGUAUUUCUCAUCAGAAAGGCUAAUUUGUAAGAGCAUGAUUUAUAUAUUAUUUUAAUUUUUAAUUAAUAUUUACUUGUCAUUCACGUAAUAGUUCUCGUGUUUAUGAAUUUGCUCUUUCGGGUUUAGACUAACUAAAUAAUGUUGAAAUAGAAAGAUUCACUACAAGACAUAAUAUCGAAAAACCAAAAAAUAUAUUUACCUAGAUAUGUUCAAUAUAAGUAAAUUUUAAAAUUUAUAGCUAUAUAUGUUUCAUAUUGAUAAAACCUAUUAACAUUAAUACCUACAUCUACUUAAUAUAAGUAAGAUUUCAAUAAAAUAUUUAAGUAACAUUAUUUCAAUAAUAUUAUUAAAUAAAAUAAAUUUCUUAUUAUUUGAAAUUUUUUUAAACUUAUAUUACUUUAAAAUAUCUAUAUAAUUAUUAUGUUUUUCACUAUUUAUAUAUUAUUAAUAAAAAAAAUAAAAGUGUAAGUAUUUUAAAGGGAUAAUCAGAACAAGAAUAUUUUUUCUUAAAUAUUUGUUUUAGUGAAAUUUGGAUGGAUAAUUUUUAUCGUUUUAUUAUUUGAAAUUUAAACUAAAACUUACUAUAGAAAAUUAUAUUAAAUAGAAAUCAAUUUUAAAAAAAUUAGUUAAUUGUUAUAUUGAUUAAAUCGGAUAUUAUUUUAAAGACUAAAACAAUUAUUUAUAGUAUCUAAAUUAUUUAUACUAGUGGAAAUAUAGGUGCACUUGCGCCUUUGUAUCCACAUUUUUCUCUUUUAUUCAAUUUUUACGAUGAUAGAAAUGUAGCAUACAUAUAGAAAUAAUUUUGGAUGAUGAGUUGAAAUUGAAAAACAAAAAAUGGAGUGCAGAGAGUGAUUCAAAAUGGAGGUUAUUUCAUUUUAUAUGUUACAUUUUAAUGUGAAAAUGUGUGAGAGUAUGUUCUUUUUUUUUCGGUUGUUGCCUUAAAAUAAGGAACUAAGGAAAGAGUGGGGAAUCAUAUAAAAACAGUACAUUAAUAUUAAUUUAAAAAAUUAAAAAAUAAUUUGAUUUUUUAAGUAAUUCAUAUGAAAUGACAAAAUACUCCACUAUAUUAAUAAAAUGAGAUAUAUUAAAUUAGGGUAGAAUCGCAAAAAAUUUGUUUACACCAAAAAGCGGUUAUAUUGGGGAAUCCCCUGUAUAGAUUAUUGAUAAAUAGUUUCUAAUUGAUAUCUAAUUAGUUACCAAUUAUUUAUAUUCUAAAGUUGGUAACUAAUUAGAUAUUUAAAAAUUAUUUAUUGAAAAUAGAAACUAAUUUAGAUAAUUAUAAUUUUUUUAGUCUCUAAAAUAAUAUCUAAUUUAGUAAAUAUGAUUAUUAUUGACAAUUAUUAUAUUAAUUUAGUAAAUAUAACAACUAAUUAUUUUUUUCUUUAAGAUUAAUUUUUAUUAAUGAUUUCACUCUAAAACUGAUUUCACACCACACUGGAUUUUUUUCCUUAUUUUAUUUUUAAAAAAAAAGAUGAAUUUUUGGUUACUAUCAGUUUCUUUCUUUCUCUUGCUCUCUCUUAGGCUCUUUAAUGAGAGUUUGAAAUUUCUUAACUCCAUUUUUCCUAUAGAAUAUUUAGCACUUAUUUAUUAGCUUUGUUAAGAUUUGAAGUCAUCUCUUCUUUUUUGUGUUAAAUUAUUUUGUUUAUAUAUAUAUAUAUAUGGUGAAAAUUUGGUAUUAAAUGUUGUCAAAAGUGUAGAAAAAUGCUCUUGUUUAAUUUACGGAAUAUUUCUUUUUCUACCUCUCAAUCCAUCAAAACAAUGUUGGACUGAAGAGAAUAUUUAAGGAGAAUAUAGAAUAUGUGUGAUGUUUGGAAACUGUUUUCUUUCGGUAAAGAAUGAAUAAAUUAACAAAAUAUCCAUCAAAUUCCUUCUUUCGAGAAAAGUUGAUUGUCUAAAAUCAAUGACCUUAUUGAUCACCUUCUUGAGCCUUAUAGACAAAAUCUUGGAUAUAAUCUUAAAGAGACACCCCAGCAGCGAAAUAGGUCUAAAAUCACACAACUGUUGUGGAUUGUCGAAUUUAGGAAUUAGACAGAUAAAAGAAGUGUUUGACCCCUAGGUCAUUUUCUACUAUUUGCGGAGUCAUUCAAAGUCACGAGAAUAUCCUCCUUUAAACAAUCCCAACAGAAUUUAGGAAAACCAAAAUUAAAACCAUCUGACCCUGAACUUUUCGAACUGUCGCAACUCCAAACUACAUUCUUAACUUCCUCCUCUGAAAAGGCACCUACCAACAUCACGUUGUCAUCACUAUAAAUAGUGUUAAAACCUACAUUAUCCAACCUAACCUGCCGUCCAAGUUCCUCGUCAAAUAUGGUCUUGAAAAAGAUCUCUAACCUUAACUUUAACCACUUCCUUGUCUUCACACCAAAGACCAUUCUCAAAGACCCCGUUAAUCUCAUUUCUCGCUCUUCUCCACUUGACAGUGGAAUGAAAAAUCUUUGAGUUUAAAUCACCUUGUUUAAACCACUUUUGACGGGCUUUUUGAUACAACACAGCUUCUUGUUUAAAAGAGUUCCGACUUUGCUCUGCAAGCAAUAUUCUUCUUUCCUCCCUUCCGAAGUCGUCUCAUUCGUUUUCAUCAUCUCUUGCAUCCAAUUCUUGAAUUUUCUUAUACAAAUCUUCCCCUGCUUGAUUAACAUUCCCAAAGGCCUCUUUAUUCCAAAUUUGUAAAUCCGCUUUUAACAUUUUCCACUUUUCCUUUCAAACAAACAUCCCUCCACCAUGCACCUCAUAGAUAAGCCACUUAUUGCGUACAAAGACACUGAACCUACCAUCACUUUGCGAAACAUCUAAACUUCUAAACGGUUUCGGGCCCCAAUCCGCACUCAUAUCUUUUAACACAAGAACACAGUGAUCAGAGGCAGAUCCACUAUACACGUACUAUUUACUAUUUGGUCAACUAUCCAGUCAAUCCCUGAAAACAAAAAUAUUGUCUAUUGUGCUCUUAAUCGACCUGUUCGGUUUGUACCAAGUAAACUUUCUGCUAACCAUCGAAAUAUCCAACAACUUUAACUUUCCGAUAAAAUUGUUGAAACUACUUAUUUAUCUAGUGUAAUUAGACACAGAAAUCAAACUUUCUCUCCAACUUCCUUCUGAUAGAAUUAAAAUUCUCAACUACACACCAAGUCUUUUCUUCUUAUAGAAUUAAAAUCUCCAACUACACACCAAGCCCUAUGUACCCCUUUAUUUAUAUAUUCUUUUUACUAAUUAAAAAAAUAUUUUAGUAAAAUAAAAAUGUUAGAAAUUAUUUUCAAAAGUUCGAAUAAUACACACUAUUACAAGUUUACUUUAUGUUCAUGUUUUUUAUAGAAUAAGAAAUGAUCUAUUUUUAUAUUUCAAAAAUAUUUUAUGAAAUUGAAAUAAAUAUGAUUAGUAAAGAAAAUUUAUAUUAAAAUUAUAAAAUAUCUAUUUUUAUCAUAAUUUCUAUCAUAACCACACGUCUCCAAUUUUAUUAAAAAAUAUUUUGAAAUCAACAAUUUUGUCAAUUUUGUCAAUUUAUAAAUAUAAAAACAAAACAAAGAAUCAUUCCUAUUUAAAAUUAAUAACAUAAUGAAUUGGGUAUUGUACAUACACAUUUAUUUAUUGCCAAUUGUAACUGCAUGGGUUAUACAUAUUACUGCACCCAUUAUUGAGGGACUGUCAUGGUACAAAUAAAACCCUAUCCACACCUAGAAUUAACAAGCACAAAACUCUUAUUCCUUUAUCUCCUUCACAAAGUUCUUAAAGUUCUCAUAAGAUGUUCCUCCUUUUGCUAUGUUCUUCAUCACUUUCUCCUUCAACAUCACACACCUGUGUUUUAUGUUCUCGUCAUUAAAGAUCUGUUCCACUUUGGUUUUCAACUCUCCCCGUGACACAACUNNNNNNNNNNNNNNNNNNNNNNNNNNNNNNNNNNNNNNNNNNNNNNNNNNNNNNNNNNNNNNNNNNNNNNNNNNNNNNNNNNNNNNNNNNNNNNNNNNNNAAUGGCCUCACUAUAUCAUAAUCACGUAUAUACCUACCAAUUACAAAUCUAUGUCAUGAUCAGUCUAAAUUUUCGGCUAUCAUACUAACUUCUAUGAAUAAGAAAUGUAGAAUGUUUCUCUGUUCACAUCAGUAAUUUAUUCAUUCUAUAUCUUGUCACAUUUCCUCGCACUUUCUCUGAUUCGACUUUUCCUGUUUUUAUCAUUAAACUUUUGUUUUUUUACUUUAUUAAUUGAUUUAGCAUUAUGUUGUCAUUAAACUAAGAGAAUUGUAUAAUUAUUGUAAAAAAUAUCUUUUUUAAUUUGGAUGUAUUUGAAAGGGAAAGGUAAAAAAUGAAAAUUUGGAUGUGAACACAGAAACGUUCUACAUAGAAACUUUCUACACAGAAACUUUCCACAUUUCUAAAAUUUGACAAGUACAUAUAAACACUAAAAGUGGAAAUAUACCAUUUUUUGGGUUCCAAGAUUCCUCUUAUAAAAUAUUCUGUUUUUUUUUUUGGUCUGUAAUCAGUUUUUAUUCAUAGGCCGAUUAUCUUUUCUUUUUGCACCCCAUGUAUGUAUAUAAGACACAAUUUUACUCUUUCUAAUUACUCAUUUUGAAUAAUAUUCUGCUUUUCAUACGAGCGUUUCUUCUCUUCUCUGUUCUUCUCCGCUUCUUUGAUUCUAUCAGAAUCAUCAAAGAUUUCUUUUCCUUUUUCUAUAAUUGUCAUUGAUAUUUUGUAAUAUGGUAUUAAAGCUCUUCAUCGUGAAGGGUUCUGUUGUGCGCACUCUGAUUCCUUCUUCAUUCUUGAUAUUUUGUUCUUCCGCAAAUUUUUCAAUAUUUUUUUUUUUUUUUUUUGACUAAUGAGUUUCUCUUUUGCAUUUUUGAAGUUGGUCUCAAUGAGUACAAAAAAUCCUGAUCGAAGCAAAAACCCUAACCUUAACCAGAAUAAAAAUCCCAUUCAAAGUGACAAUCUCGCUCACAACUUCUUAUACUUCACUCGAGUAAAAACCCUGCAACUCCUCUCGUAUCUCUAGUUCUUGAUUUGAUAAAUUACCACUCUUGGAGUCGCUCAGAUAUCACUGUGUUAAGUGCAAAUAACAAGGUAGAGUUUAUCAAAGAUGUGAUACCUCAACCCUCUGAAUCGGAUCCCUUCUUCUCGUCCUGGAUGUGCUGCAAUGCCAUGGUGGCGUCUUGGCUUGUGCAUUUGGUUUUUGUUCCCAUACGUAAAAGCAUCAUAUGGAUGGAUAAGGCACUAGAUGUCUGGAAUGACCUUAAAGCUCGCUUCUCACAAUGUGAUAUGUCUCGCAUUUCUGACCUCCAAAUGGAGGCCUCUCCUAUCAAUCAUGGUGAUCUUUCUGUAACUAAUUAUUUCACCAAACUUAGGGUUAUUUGGGAUGAAUUAGAUAAUUUUAGACUUGAUCAUGUAUGCACCUGUAAUGGUUUUUCUGUUAUUGUACAAAGAAAAAGAGAGGAUCAAGCCAUGUAGUUUUUACAUGGCCUCAAUGGUCAAUACAAUAACGUAAAGGCCCAUGUUCUUCUCAUGGAGCAUGUCCUUGCUAUUACUAAGAUUUUUUCUAUGGUUGUUAAACAAAAGCGUCAAUUUAAUAAUAGUUUAGUUGCUCAUAUAAAAAAUAAUAAUUAUGUUAUUCAUACCAAUGUCAAUUUUGUUACUUCUUUGGAAAACUGGAUCAUAAUGAAACUGUAUCUUUUAAGAAAAAUGGUUAUCCUAACCAAGAUUGUAAGGGAUCAAGAUCUGGCAGUAAUAACAGAAAGGUUUGUACCUACUACAAUAAGAAUGGGCACACUGUAGAUGUCUGCUAUAAGAAACAUGGAUACCCCCAGGUAUAGAUUUUAAUAUGGUAAAUUUUCUCAUGCCAACGAUGUUGUUGCUCAAGAAGACAUUGUUGGUGGUCAAGAUCAGAAUAAAAAUAAUGGUAGUGGUGACUUCCGAAUCACCCAAAGUCAGUUUCAAAUCCUUUCGAAUAUUUUGAAGAAUGUAAAUGUCUCAAAUAGUCAAGCUCAAGUGAACCAGGUUGGUUCCAUUUCUGUUGAUCUCAAGAUCAAAAUUCAGCUGUGACAGGUAAUCUUUAUGGAUUUCGAAGUUUUAUCUUCAAUAAGCAUGCUUGGAUUCUAGAUUUUGGUGCAACAAAUCAUGUUUGUUUUGACCUAUCUAAUUUUUCAUCAUAUAAUGUUAUUAAAACCAUUAUUAUUAAACUUCCGAAUGGAAAUUUUGUUAUUGCUUCCUACUCUGGUAUAAUAACUUUUAAUGAUAGAUUUGUUUUGAAAAAUGUCUUAUAGGUGCCAAAUUUUUCUUUUAAUUUGAUUUCCAUAUCUCAAUUUACUACAUCUCUUAAAUGUGAGCUUAGUUUCUCCUCUGCUGAGUGUUCAAUACAGAAUUUCAUAACCAAAGACAAGAUUGGUAUAAUUGAUGUUGUGGUUGAUUUAUAUGUCUUCAACAAAGCUGGCAAAAAUAUUCUAAGCAGUGCUACAAAACAAAUGAAUAUUUGGCACUUCCGAAUGGAUCAUCCUUCAGAAGAAAGGUUAAAAGUUUUACAAACUUAUUAUCCUAAUAUUCAUAUUGAUAAGGACUACAUUUGUGAUGUUUCUCAUCAAGCAAAACAAAGAAAACUUUAUUUUUCCCUUAGUGACACUAGAAUUGUUCAGUCUUUUGAAUCACUUCAUAUUGACAUUUGGGGUCCUUGUUCGGUUGUUUCAAUGCUUGGUCAUAAAUUUUUCCUUACUAUAGUAGAUGAUUUUACUAGGUAUACUUCGAUUUUUCCCACAUAAUAAGUCUGAAGUCAGGGUUAAUGUUACCAAUUUUAUAACUUGUGUUGAAAAUCAAUUUUCUACUAAAGUUAAAAUUAUUCAUACUCAUAAUGGCAUUGAUUUUUUCAUGCAUGAUUUCUUUGCAUCCAAAGGUAUUAUCCAUCAAACUACUUCUUUUGAAACAUCAAAACCUUUUGAAUGUCACUCACACUUUACUUUUUCAAUCUAGUCUCCCUGCUGUUUUUUGUUAUUUUGUUGUGCAACAUAUUGCAUUUCUUAUUAAUUGCAUGCCUACUCCACUACUUAACAAUGUCACUCCCUAUGAAAACUUAUACAAAAGUUGCGUGAUAUUUCUCAUCUACGUGUUUUUAGAUGUUUGUGCUACUUUUCUACCAUUCUUGCUCAUAGAAAAAAAACAGGACAAUCGUGUUGUUUCAGAUGUUUUCCUUGGUUUUAAACAUAAUACAAAAGGUUUCCUCUUCUUGAACCUCAAAAGUCACAAAAUAGAUUUAUCUAUAAAUGUUAUUUUUCAUGAAAAUUCUUUUCCUUAUUACACCAAGUAUGUACAAAAUAAUGAUUCCAAUAGUCUCUCUUUAUGCCCAGACUUAUGAUGAUCUUAACAUGCAAUCUGAAAAUAAUGUUCAUGAUGUUUUACUUGAUAAUACUGUUGAAACUAAUGCUGAGAUUGAACAAAGUGAGAAUGUUACUGCUUCUUCUAGAAGAUCAACUCAUAGUAGAAGAAUGUCAGCUUAUUUACAAGACUUUGAGGUAUCUAAUAUCAGUAACAAUACGGUAAGUACUAAAUACCCAAUUAAUUCCCUUUUAAAUUACAAUUCUUUGUCUGAUAAUUUCAAAUAUACAAUCAUGUUGAUUUCAUCUACCGAGGAACCUCGAAAUUAUGAGGAAACUAUCAUGCACACAUCCUGGGUCCAAGCAAUGAAAGAAGAACUUAAGGCACUCGAAGAUAACAAAACUUGGUCUGUAACCGAGCUUCCUCUAGGAAAAACUGCCAUUGAAUUUCGUUGGGUGUAUAAAGUUAAACACAAAGCAGAUGACUCUAUUGAACGCUACAAAGCCCGUUUGGUAGCAAAUGGCUACACUCAAAUCGAAGGUCUUGAUACUUUUGCUCCUAUAGCAAAGUUAACCACUUUUCAAUUGCUUCUUGCCUUGGCAGCAGCUCACAACUGGACACUAAAGCAACUUGAUAUUAACAAUGUUUUUCUGCAUGCGAAAUUAGAUCAAGAAGUAUACAUGGUUUUGCCUCCAGGACUUCACUUUUCAUCUACAAAUCUGGUUUGUCACCUCAGAAAGUUGUUCUAUGACCUCAAACAAGCAGGAAGGCAGUGGUAUGCUAAGCUUUCAAACUUUCUCUUUUUUUUUCCGCUUGUUGUCUUAAAAUAAGGAACUAAGGAAAGAGUGAGAAAUCGUAUAAAAACUGUACAUUAAUAUUAAUUUAAAAAAUUAAAAAAUAAUUUUAUUUUUUAAGUAAUUCAUAUGAAAUGACAAAAUACUCCACUAUAUUAAUAAAAUGAGAUAUAUUAAAUAAGGGUAUAAUCGCAAAAAAUUUGUUUACACUAAAAGGCGGUUAUAAUGGGGAAUCCCCUCUAUAUAUAUAAGUAUAGAUUAUUGAUAAAUAGUUUCUAAAUUGAUAUCUAAUUAGUUAUCAAUUAUUUAGAUUCUAAAGUUGGUAACUAAUUAGAUAUCAAUUUAAAAAUCAUUUAUCGAAAAUAGAAACUAAUUUAGAUAACAAUAAUUUUUUUAGUCUCUAAAAUAAUAUUUAAUUUAGUAAAUAUGAUUAUUAUUGACAAUUAUUAUAUUAAUUUAAUAAAUAUAAAAACUAAUUAUUUUUUGUCUUUAAGAUUAAUUUUUAUUAAUGAUUUCACUCUAAAACUGAUUUCACACCACACUGGAUUUUUUUCCUUAUUUUUUUUAAAGAAAAUAUGAAUUUUAGGUUAUUAUCAGUCUCUUUCUUUCUCUUGCUCUCUCUUAGGCUCUUUAAUGAGAGUUUGAAAUUUCUUAACUCCAUUUUUCCUAUAGAAUAUUUAGCACUUAUUUAUUAGCUUUGUUAAGAUUUUAAGUCAUCUCUUCACUACAAAAAAAAUCACUUUUAGCGACCACCAAAUUCGGUCGCUAAAAGCACUAUAAUCGGUCGCUAAACAUAUUUGCGACCGAAACGGCUACCAAAUAAAAUUGGAAGCGAAAACCCUAGUCGCAAAGCAUCUAACGAUCGAAUUAUAAAGUGGUCGCAAAUUUGCAACUGAAAUAUCAGUGGCUAAAUCGGUUGCAGACAAUUUGGUCACCAAAAUCCAGGAACCAAAUUAGUGACCACCAUUUUCGGUGGCUAAAUCGGUCGCAAACAAUUUGGUCACCGAAAUUCAUAACCAAAUUAGCGACCACUAUUUUCGGUGGCUAAAUCAGUGGCUGAAAUGAAAGGUGAUAGCGACCACCAUUUUUGGUCGCUAAUGAUUAAAAUAUUUUUUUAAUUACAGCGACCAUCAUUUUCGGUCGCUAAUGAUUAAAAUAUUUUUUUUAAUUAUAGCGACCAAUUCUCUUUCGGUUGCUAAACAACAACUUUGUAGAUAUAACAUAACCACCAUAUCAAUUGGUGACUAUUUUUAUAUAUAUUAUUAAUACUUAUUAAAAAUGUAUUACUAUUUUUUUUUGAAUUUUAACUUUUAGUUCUUAAAGACAUUAGGUUAUUGAGUUUAAAAUUAUAUUUACAACUUAAACCUAUGAUUUUUACUCUACAUUAAUUUCAAUUAUCCAUAAAACUAGGGUUAAACUGAAAUGAUAUAGAUUAUUUUUUAAGAGAGACUGAGGUAGAAGAAUGUAGACAAAAAUAUUUAAAUAUAUACAUGAUCAUUAAUUAUUAAUUAAUUAGUAAACAGCUUUGAUGUUAAUGUUUGUAUGAAUAAAAUAUUCCUUUUAUUCCUUCAUUGUAACUCUCUUUAUUUUUUUAUUCUUUAGCUUUUUUUUUGUUAUGUUCUUGGUUAAUUUUUUAAAAAUUUGAAACAGUUUAUUUCGGCACAUUGAAAUAUUUGAAUUGUAACAUAUUUAAAAACUAAACUAACCAUUUUAUAUAUCUUGCUAGAAACAAAAUACAAAUCUCACUAAGCAUGCUCAUUUGUUUUCGGUGAAAUUUAUUAUAGUUUAAAAAANNNNNNNNNNNNNNNNNNNNNNNNNNNNNNNNNNNNNNNNNNNNNNNNNNNNNNNNNNNNNNNNNNNNNNNNNNNNNNNNNNNNNNNNNNNNNNNNNNNNNNNNNNNNNNNNNNNNNNNNNNNNNNNACUUAUGCAGUUAUUUUAUUUUCAACCAUUAAACUUAAUACAACAACGUAUUUUAUAUAUAUUAAUUAUCAAGUCAUUGAUUACUCUUUUAACAUAAUAUAAGUCAUUGAUUUACUUCACUUUAGAAAUAUAAAACUUUAAUAAAAAUAUUAAGUAAAGCAGAAAUUAAAGAAAUAAAACUUAAAACUGUACACUAUGCAUAUUCUUCAAUCUACUUCUCAAGUUUCUCAAAAUGAUGCAUGUAGCUGCACACCUAAUGAGUGAAUGAAACUAACCCUUCCUCAUUAUUUUAUUUAUAUAACUCAUCCACCUUUUCCACUUUUUGGCAAACAUUUGAUUCCAUCUAAAUAAAUAAUCAGUUAAAUAAGUAGGAAAGUAACCUCACCCGUCAGUUUUCCUAACCUUGUGUUCUGCAUAAUCUCUAUUUCCGAAUUCAUUCACGUUUAGUCAAAUUGAAUUUUAACUUUGAAAACAGAGACAUCAUGAGAGGCAAACCAACACCAGCUCAGCUUAUUCCCUAUCUAUCUACCAAACAUGAAAUAAAUUCCCCAAACCCAACAAUCUUAUAACCCAACAAAAUUAUACUAUGAGUAAGUUAAAUGUUAUAUUAAAUAUAGUUUUUAAAAUGAUAAUUAAAAAUCACUAACUAUGGAAUGUAAAAAAUGGUUAUUGUUAAAUUACCUGCUCAGGUGCACAUAUCCUCACCUAACAGUUUGUUCCAAUUAAUUUACACUUCCGAGUAUGAAUUGGAAGGAAUAGUAGUCAUCUAAAAUCCUUUUAUUUCUACUUUCCUGCCUUACAUUUGUGUAUUAAUCUAAUCCCCAAAAGGUUCCAAAAUGAGAAACUCUCUUGCAUUUUUUUUUUGCCUCAGAUCUUCUGUUUCAUAUUAUUCAGUUUUCAACAUCAAGUGCAAACAAAAUCCACCAUUGAAGCAUGCAAGGAGUUAGUUUCAAAUUGUCAGCUAAAAUCACCCGCUGGAUCCACACAUAAUUGUAUCAAGUUUCUGAACUUCCUAUACUAUUCAACAAAUCAAUUGAAUUGUCAAUUCCAGCAAGCAUUAUAGGAAAAUGAAAAGUGAAAACUGCACCAAAUAACUAAUGAUUUUCACACUAUAAUAAAAAAACAAACAAACACCAGUUGCUGCAGGUUUCUAAAACCUACAACAUUCAAGAAUGAACCAAUUCACCGAAUCAAAUACUAAAAUUUGCACCGAAAUUAGUGCUCUGUUUCAACAGCCCCAUGAUUGAAUCAAUUAUGCAACGAACCAGCACUCAGAUGCAAAUACACUAAUUACAAACAAGAUUAGAUGUGCACAAAUCCUUACUGCACCCAUUAUUGAGGGACUGUCAUGGUACAAAUAAAACCCUAUCCACACCUAGAAUUAACAAGCACAAAACUCUUAUUCCUUUAUCUCCUUCACAAAGUUCUUAAAGUUCUCAUAAGAUGUUCCUCCUUUUGCUAUGUUCUUCAUCACUUUCUCCUUCAACAUCACACACCUGUGUUUUAUGUUCUCGUCAUUAAAGAUCUGUUCCACUUUGGUUUUCAACUCUCCCCGUGACACAACUCCAUUUUGAUCUUUGUCAAUCCCCAACCCAACCUUUAACUCAUCACAAAUAUGUGUUUUGUUGUAAAGUUGGUCUCCGAAGUAUGGCCAACCCAAUAAAGGUACCCCACUGGACAAACCUUCCAUGGUAGAAUUCCAACCACAAUGAGUGAGAAAACAUGCUAUGGCAGGGUGACUUAAAACCUUUUGUUGAGGAGCCCAAUUCACUAUCUUACCCUUAUGCCCUUGGAAUUCAUGAGGGUAUGCCAUUUUAUUGUCUUCUCUUAUAACCCAAAGAAAAGGUCUAUUGGUGAGGUCUAGUCCAAGGGCAAGUUCGUUGAAUUGGUUUUGGUCAAAAAGAGUGAUACUACCAAAGGCAACAUACAACACAGAACCAUCAGCUUGUUCAUCUAGCCAACUCAUGCAGGACUGGUCUUCUUUCCAGAAUUGUCCCAUUGAUUUUGUAGCUGCACUUUUGUUAUCAUCAUUAUCAUUGCUUUUCAACAAUGGCCCAAUUGGGAUGAUCUUCGGAAGAAAUAAAAAUGUUCCUGGUUCAAGUUCGUGUGUGGUGUUGCAAAGCCACCACUGUGUCAAAUGUAAACUUGGUGCGUAAUGCAGCAGAUACUUAAGCAGUUUCUUACCAUUUACACCCAUAUUCAACCAAAAAAAGUCUUCUGGAUCCAUCUCAGGCAUACUUGUUGAAAUCCGAAUUCUCUUUUUCGUGGUUAAUGUUAA